AGAGUUUGAUCCUGGCUCAGAACGAACGUUGGCGGCGUGGAUUAGGCAUGCAAGUCGGGGGAAUCCCAGCAAUGGGGGAACCGGCGUAAGGGGCAGUAAGGCAUGGGUACCUACCCUAGGGUUUGGGAUAGCCAUCAGAGAUGGUGGGUAAUACCGGAUGAUGUCGUGAGACCAAAGAUUUAUCGCCCUUGGAGGGGCCCAUGUGAUAUUAGCUAGUUGGUGAGGUAAUGGCUCACCAAGGCAAAGAUGUCUAGCGGGUGUGAGAGCACGACCCGCGCCACUCGCACUGAGACACUGGCGAGACACCUACGGGUGGCUGCAGUCGAGGAUCUUCGGCAAUGAGCGCAAGCUUGACCGAGCGACGCCGCGUGUGCGAUGAAGGCCUUCGGGUUGUAAAGCACUGUCGAGGGGGAGAAAGGGGAAACCUUGAUCUAUCCCUGGAGGAAGCACGGGCUAAGUUCGUGCCAGCAGCCGCGGUAAU
rnacentral:rRNA from 1 species